rnacentral:lncRNA from 1 species
GGAACGGCACGGGCUCAGCCACCCCAGGGUUUUCUUUGGGCGUGCGCCUGUGAGCGUCUCCCUCUGCUCUGUGCAUCAGUCAGCACGGCUGGCUGCCGAGAACCACAUGGGCUCCCUGAAAGCCAUCAGAUCCUGCCUCGCUAAGAGGUUUGGAAGCAAGCAGGACUAAAACAACAACAUGGGCUAGGCAUUAAAAUCAGGGCUUGAUCCCAGAUUUGCCCCGUGCUGCUCAGGUCAGAUGGAGCUUUAUGUUUGAGCCGAGAUCCUUCUUCAGCCAGGAUUUACAAACAAAAAUAAUACGACAGAGGAGAGGGCUGGUGCUUCUGAAGAUGCUCCGAAAACGCUCACACAAGCAGAAAGGGGCCCACAAGAAUUAUUCCCCAUACAGCAGCCAAGCCAAAG